rfam:Atta colombica isolate Treedump-2 unplaced genomic scaffold scaffold146, whole genome shotgun sequence.
GCUCCAGUGGCGCAAUUGGUUAGCGCACGGUACUUAUAGAGCAGUUUCUCGUGAGCGAUGCCGGGGUUGUGAGUUCGAGCCUCACCUGGAGCA